rnacentral:rRNA from 1 species
UACGUAGGGUGCGAGCGUUAAUCGGAAUUACUGGGCGUAAAGCGUGCGCAGGCGGUUCGUUGUGUCGGCGGUGAAAGCCCCGGGCUUAACCUGGGAAUGGCCGUCGAAACUGGCGAACUGGAGUGUGGCAGAGGGGGGUGGAAUUCCGCGUGUAGCAGUGAAAUGCGUAGAGAUGCGGAGGAACACCGAUGGCGAAGGCAGCCCCCUGGGCUGACACUGACGCUCAGGCACGAAAGCUAGGGGAGCGAACGGG